UACAGAGGGGGCAAGCGUUAUUCGGAAUUAUUGGGCGUAAAGGGCGCGUAGGCGGCUUGGCAAGUGGAUGGUGAAAUCCCUCGGCUUAACCGAGGAACUGCCGUCCAAACUGCUUCGCUUGAGACCGGGAGAGGUGAGUGGAAUUCCCAGUGUAGCGGUGAAAUGCGUAGAUAUUGGGAGGAACACCAGUGGCGAAGGCGGCUCAGUGGACCGGUACUGACGCUGAUGCGCGAAAGCGUGGGGAGCAAACGGG
rnacentral:rRNA from 1 species